UUUAAUGGCAGAAAAAUUUAAAUGUAGUAGUUUUAGGAACUAGAGAUAGAGAACGCAGUCUCUUUUUUUGAAU
rnacentral:tRNA from 1 species